AGAAGGAACUGCUGGAGUACUGAUGAAGAAAAGCAAGCUGGGGAGCCCUCAUGGAAACAAGAAGAAAAGAAAACAGGACAGAAAUAGGGAAACAAGGCAGUACUAUCCCCAAGACUUGUGUGAUGCUGGUUAGCUGUGUACUCUAUGUGGCUAGGUGACUCACAGGCGUCUUUGUAGAUCGCUCCCAGUUGGAAAUAUCAAGAGCUUAUGUUCGUUUCCGUUCCAUGAAAUAUCAAGUUUGACAGUGAUAAGUUGACUACCUUAUGGAUUCUAAGUACCACUAUUUAGAACCUGCUCUCCCAUGUAACUGUUUAUUUCCCUCACUAACUGAACAA